rnacentral:rRNA from 1 species
CCUACGGGAGGCAGCAGUGAGGAAUAUUGGUCAAUGGACGAGAGUCUGAACCAGCCAAGUAGCGUGAAGGAUGACUGCCCUAUGGGUUGUAAACUUCUUUUAUAUGGGAAUAAAAUGUUCCACGUGUGGGAUUUUGUAUGUACCAUAUGAAUAAGGAUCGGCUAACUCCGUGCCAGCAGCCGCGGUACUACGGAGGAUCCGAGCGUUAUCCGGAUUUAUUGGGUUUAACGGGAGCGUAGGUGGAUUGUUAAGUCAGUUGUGAAAGUUUGCGGCUCAACCGUAAAAUUGCAGUUGAAACUGGCAGUCUUGAGUACAGUAGAGGUGGGCGGAAUUCGUGGUGUAGCGGUGAAAUGCUUAGAUAUCACGAAGAACUCCGAUUGCGAAGGCAGUUCACUGGACUGCAACUGACACUGAGGCUCGAAAGUGUGGGUAUCAAACAGGAUUAGAUACCCGAGUAGUC